rnacentral:rRNA from 1 species
UACACUCCUACGGGAGGCAGCAGUAGGGAAUCUUCGGCAAUGGGGGCAACCCUGACCGAGCAACGCCGCGUGAGUGAAGAAGGUUUUCGGAUCGUAAAGCUCUGUUGUAAGUCAAGAACGAGUGUGAGAGUGGAAAGUUCACACUGUGACGGUAGCUUACCAGAAAGGGACGGCUAACUACGUGCCAGCAGCCGCGGUAAUACGUAGGUCCCGAGCGUUGUCCGGAUUUAUUGGGCGUAAAGCGAGCGCAGGCGGUUUGAUAAGUCUGAAGUUAAAGGCUGUGGCUCAACCAUAGUUCGCUUUGGAAACUGUCAAACUUGAGUGCAGAAGGGGAGAGUGGAAUUCCAUGUGUAGCGGUGAAAUGCGUAGAUAUAUGGAGGAACACCGGUGGCGAAAGCGGCUCUCUGGUCUGUAACUGACGCUGAGGCUCGAAAGCGUGGGGAGCGAACAGGAUUAGAUACCCUUGUAGUCCC